rnacentral:tRNA from 1 species
GGGGUGGUAGCUCAGUUGGUUAGAGCGCCGCACUGUCACUGCGGAGGUCACGGGUUCGAGUCCCGCCCAUCCCGCCA